UACGUAAGGACCGAGCGUUGUCCGGAAUCAUUGGGCGUAAAGGGUACGUAGGCGGUUAAAAAAGUUAGAAGUGAAAGGCUAUAGCUCAACUAUAGUAAGCUUUUAAAACUGUUUAACUUGAGAGAUGGAAGGGAAAGUGGAAUUCCUAGUGUAGCGGUGAAAUGCGCAGAUAUUAGGAGGAAUACCGGUGGCGAAGGCGACUUUCUGGCCAUUAUCUGACGCUGAGGUACGAAAGCGUGGGUAGCAAACAGG
rnacentral:rRNA from 1 species